UCUGUUCCUAUAAGUUCUUCUAUAUUGGUUCAGACAAAAGAGUAAGAACAUUUCUCCUGCCACUAAUUGGUCGUUUUUUCAUCUUUAUUUGGUCUGUGGUUCUAUUUGGACUCACUGCACCAUUAAGGUUUUGUUUUCUGACAUAGUUUCUUCUUGUUUGCGAUGAAAGAUCUACUUUUUUUCAGUUUUUUUGGACAUAUCGAUAUUUCUUGUUUUGCUAAAAGGUUUUUUUAUUUUAUUGGAGGGAGAGAA